AUGCAAUUGGUUUGGGCUCUUACAUAUCUUCCUGGAGAACGAUUCGUUCACUAUUCCCGGGUUUGUGAUUACGUUGUAAAAACCAAAAUGGCUGCCUUACGGCGUGGUCAUUCUGUGCCGGGCGCUCUUCAUCCUCAUGACAGCUCUGUGAGGACGGUGUUUCACUGUCUCCUGAAAGACGAGAAGGCGGAGCCCACAGAAUGGUUAAGCAACUGUCCAAGGGCACAACUAAGACGACUUCCAGAGUCUGUGCUGCUAUCCAGUGUACCGUUGUGCCUCUAUGUGAAUAGCAUGUGUGUUAAUAGUAAACAAAAGAGACUAUUUUGUUGUUCUUGAGUUGGCCUGGUGAUAUAUUUUAAAAUGAUUUUGGCAUAAUUGCUUUCAAAUUCAUUUGUUAGUAAUGAGGAACACAAUGGAAAAUACACAGAAAUAAAGAAAAAAUUCCCCUCUCUUCCUUUCUCCA
rnacentral:lncRNA from 1 species